UACGUAGGGGGCAAGCGUUGUCCGGAAUCAUUGGGCGUAAAGCGCGUGUAGGCGGCUUGGUAAGUCUGCUGUGAAAGUCCAGGGCUCAACCCUGGAAUGCCGGUGGAAACUGUCGGGCUAGAGUCCGGAAGAGGCGAGUGGAAUUCCUGGUGUAGCGGUGAAAUGCGCAGAUAUCAGGAGGAACACCAAUGGCGAAGGCAGCUCGCUGGGACGGUACUGACGCUGAGACGCGAAAGCGUGGGGAGCAAACAGG
rnacentral:rRNA from 1 species